rnacentral:tRNA from 1 species
GGAGGGAUACCCUAGCGGCCAAAGGGAGCAGACUGUAAAUCUGCCGUCGUAAGACUUCGGUGGUUCAAAUCCACCUCCCUCCACCA